GGCUCCGUAGCUUGGUGGAAAGAAGCGCCCAUCUAGCGAAUUGGAAGUCGUGGGUUUGAUUCCCACCGAAGCAC
rfam:Aedes albopictus isolate Foshan contig160274, whole genome shotgun sequence.